GUAGUUUUGUCUGCCACAGCAUUGUAAAGUAUCGACCGACACUCUCCCUCACUCACACUCUCCCUCUCUCUUUCGUCCGAGAACACGAAAACGAGAGCAAAAGCUCUCCUAUCCUUUCCUUCCUCCACCAGUGAUCAAUCGACGCCAAACAACCUUCUGUGGCUUCGUCUCAGCCUUGCGAAGCUACCUGCGGCGGUCUUGGUCACGGCACAGCCGGAAGCAGCGGUGAAGAGGUCGGAUGCGUCCAGCCCCGAUUUGGAUUCCAACCAUGGUAGCUCGAACUACCGAUCACGAGACCUUCUCAAACUCCAUCCACAGGUUCGUAUCAACCAUCUGAAACUCCCAGAAGCACCAUUUCACGGCGGCGCUGUCGCUGGAGGCGGCUGGAGCUCACAACCCCGAUCGGAGCGAACAACGGAGCAAAGGAUCCUGAUAUCUCGAGCUACAGGAUGUCGUUUUGAGUGUUUCUUGGACUGGGGAACUCAGAGUGAGGAGAUGAAAAACUUUAUAGAAGGGAUCGAGGCCUGAAAUUGAAUUUUUUAGGUCGGAAUUCAAGCUCGCCAGAUUCUGGAAAUUUUCCGGCCACCGAAGCUUUCGAUCGUGAUAUCUCGAGCUGUAGAGCUUCGUUUUGAGUGAUUCUUGAACCAGUGAGUUCACCUUUAUGUUAUUAACAACUGUCCAGAAGGAAUUGAGGCCAAAAGAUGAAGUUUUUACGUGGGAAAAGAGGUUGGACGGUUUCUGCAAAUUUCGCCGGUUUCUGGAAAUUUUCCGGCCAUCACGACUGUUUUAGGUGAUUGACGGUCUUCCUUGGGUGAGCGGUUUCGGUGUGUAUUGUGUUGAAGUGAAGACGCAGCGGGACUAGAGCGGGUAAUCCUGUAGGUCAGGAGAAUCAGGGCGGUGAUCGUGCGGGUUAGAGCAUUUGUUAUAAUUUUACAGCAAUUGUAAUAGUGAGGUGAGUUAAGCUCAUUUGAGCCUUGCAAUUUGAUUUAGUGAGAGUGUGCUGUAAUAAAUAACUUGAGAAUGUGGUUUAUUGUAUUAUUGAGAGGUGUGAAGUGUGGUUGUUUUUGAGAAAAAAAUUCAGGACGUUGGUUUGUAAUAGUUAUUAUUCAUGUUUCGGAUUUGAAUUGUUUAUUCAAAAUUCGGGGCG